ensembl:lncRNA
CUUUGCCCGAAAUUGGGAUGUGACUCUCAAUACCUCAUGUCACUUCUAUGUCUGAAUAUGAAGUUUGUGACAAAGAAAUGUGUUGAUAGAAUAUAAUAUCUCCAUCAAUGGGAGCAAUUAGUAAACUGACUCAGUUGUCAUGAAGGAAUAUUUAAAUUUUCUGUUUGACGUAAUAGUGAUUUAUUAAUACAACUUAGCAGCAGCAGCAUGGAAGAAAAGCUAUACAAUACUAGGUGUUCAUUGUAUGUUUUGUUGUAUAUAGUGAGUUUUUGGGUAUUAAUAGGCCUUUACACAUAAGAGUUGAAUUCCCUCUUUAGCUUGGAUUCCUGUAUAUUGUUGAAAAGUUCUCAGCUCAAGAUAGGCAGUGGAUGGGGCCUGAAGUAAUAAUCUACCUAAUUCUUUCAAAGGGACAGCAACAUGUAUUCCCAAACUCAGAGGAUAAACAACUUCCUCUGGCCUCUCCCUUUUCCUAGUUUUCUUUCUAAAAUUGUGGAUUUCUUAUCUUAGUAUUUGUAAAACUUGCCUGAUUAUAAAAAUCAUCUAAAGUGUUGGUAAAAAACAAUUUUCUGGAUCCUUUCCAGGCCCGUUGAAUCUGAAUUUUGAGGAAUAGUAUACCUUAAAGGGUAUGUUUUUUCCAGUGGUCAUGUAUGGAUGUGAGAGUUGGACUGUGAAGAAAGCUGAGCGCCGAAGAAUUGAUGCUUUUGAACUGUGGUGUUGGAGAAGACUCUUGAGAGUCCUUUGGACUGGAAGGAUAUCCAACUAGUCCAUUCUGAAGGAGAUCAGCCCUGGGAUUUCUUUGGAAGGAAUGAUGCUGAAGCUGAAAAUCCAGUACUUUGGCCACCUCAUGCGAACAGUUGACUCAUUGGAAAAGACUCUGAUGCUGGGAGGGAUUAGUGGCAGGAGAAGAAGGGGACGACAGAGGAUGAGAUGGCUGGAUGGCAUCACUGACUCGAUGGACGUGAGUCUGAGUGAACUCCGGGAGUUGGUGAUAGACAGGGAGGCCUGGCGUGCUGUGAUUCAUGGGAUCACAAAGAGUUGGACACGACUGAGCAACUGAACUGAACUGAACUGACUGAUACUUUAAACAGAGCUUUCCUGGUAGCUCAGUUGUCAAACAAUCUGCCUGCAAUGCAGGAGACUCUGGUUUGAUUCCUGGGUCAGAAAGAUCCCACGGAGAAGGGAUAGGCUACCCUAUACUCCAGUAUUCUUGGGCAUCCCUGGUGGCUCAGGCAAUAAAGAAUCCACCAGCAUUGUGGGAGACCUGAGUUCGGUCCCUGGUUGGGAAGAUCCCCUGGAGGAGGGCAUGGCAACCUGUUCCGGUAUUCUUGCCUGGAAAAUCCCAUGGACAGAGGAUCCUGGUGGGCUGUAGUCCAUGGGGUCACAAAGAAGUUGGACACGACUGAGCAACUAAGCACAGCACACAGCAUGCUUUAAAUAAGCACCCUGGACAAUUCUUACAGUCUAAGCAGACUUGAGAAACAAUAGUUUAUUUGAAGCAAAUUCAUAGCUGUUGUGGCCAUGGCCAUAUGAAAUAUAGCACAGGAGAUCAGACCAGGUGGAAAGAUCAUCUUACCCACCCAAAGUCAUCAUGCAGAAGACUGCCCAUAGCCGUCACUUUGCCUUAGUGAAGAGGGGAAAAUGUGUAGAUGGGUAAUUUUCUCUGUGUCGCUUGCAGCUCCAGGAUUCUACUCCUCGCUGAAAUUACAAUUAUGUACAUGAUGAGAUGUGUGUAUAUUUAGAAUUUUUUCUAAUGCUUUCUUCAUGUGGUUAUUGGGUUGUUUAAAAGUCAGUUUAUGCACUGAAUAAUUGCUCCCUCAUUAAACUCGGUGGUUUAAUUUGAAAGAUAAGCAGAGUUUAUGUAACUCUAGGUCAUUGCCCAGAUCUGGAAGUAGUAUUCCCUGGAAGUGAACUGGUCCCAAAUUUGGGAAAUAUUGGGGCUUUUUGAGUUAAACUCACUUCCUGGUUCCUCUCCUCACCCUGGGGCAUCAGGUCUCUCCUGCUGUCCUUCAGCUGUCUACUCUGUCACCUCUCUCUCCUCUUCUUUCCUUGAUAGUGCUCCAUGCUCCAAAAUCAUCUUUCUCUCCCUUUGAAGGUCUUCUCCUGAGUCAAAAGAUAAAACAGAAUGGCAGAAAUAAAGCAUAAUCCAUAUGCAUUUAUGGACUAUGCACAAUCCAUAACCCAAUAAUUCUUAUCCUGUAGAUUUGGUGAUAAAUGGCAAUCCGCUCCAGGACUCUUGCCUGGAAAAUCCCAUGGACGGAGGAGCCUGAUAGGUUAUAGUCCAUGGGGUCACAAAGAGUCGGACACGACUGAGUGACUUCAUGUAGUAGAAAGGAAAGAAUGGAUAAAUGCACACAUGCCCUAGUGGGAGUGACUGAUGGAUGACUUAGUGCAUUAACAAACUGUCCCACAUUGAGAAUAGACUGGUGGUUGUCAAGGGGGAGCAGGGUAGGAGAGGGUUAGGUUGAGGAUUUGUGAUUAGCAGAUACAAACUGGUGUAUAUAUAGAAUGGAUAAACAAUAAAGUUUUACUGUAUAGCACAGGGAACUAUAUUCAAUAUCUUGUGAUAAACCAUAAUGGAAAAGAAUAUGAGAAUGUAUAUGUAUAUAUAACUGAGUCAUUUUGCUGUACAGCAGUAAUUAACACAGCAUUGUAAUUCAACUAUACUUCAAUUAAAAAAGAAAAAACUGUCAUUGGCACUCUAAGACAAUGCAUGUUAACUAAAGGAAUAAGUCUCAAAUACAUGCUAUCAGGCAGUUGCAAAGGAGAGUGAGGGGAAAUUUGGGGCAGAGGGAUCUUUAAAUCAAACCAAAAGGGGCAUAGUUUACUCUGCUACCCGAGGUCAGCCGUUGUUCUUGGAAACACGUUGAUACGAUGUUCAUCCAAGAAAACCAGGGAGACAUGCUUGUGUCUGGUUAAAGGGCAAUUCCAGGCCUUUCUCCCCACCCUCUUGGUUUCUCUUCACCUCUAGCAGGGCACUACCUGUCUACCCUCUGCAGGUAGGUCGUUCCAGAAACAGACAGUUUCCAGGAGAGCCAUGAACUGUGCAAAUCCACAUUCAGAGUCCUCACAUUUUUGAUAUUUAAGGCUGUUGACUUGUGGACUAAAUGGUUGUCAGAGUCUUUUCACGUAGAUAGAGUCAAGAACUUUUGGCUCAGGCUCUUAUCACUCUACGUAAAGGUGAAAAAUUGAUUGGAAGAAAAUGUGGCAUUUUAUUCUCCCUCAUGUCAGUUGAAAGUUUAGUUUCCAUGUCUUUCUGUGUCACUGAAAUAGUAAAUGCAAAUCCAACCAGGCAGGCUUUUUUUUUUUCUUCACUAAAGGGUUCUGCAUUAGGAAAUGAAAAAAUUUGACAGAGUAAAUGCAGAGUGGAUAAUAGGAAGCAUGUUGUAUCCCCCUUUCCCAAUUCAAGAUACAAAGCUCAGUCAUUCAUCAGGCUGUGUGUUGCAGCAUUUUAUGGCAUCCUUGGUUCCUUCGGUAUCAUGACUGCUUGGUGAUUUUCAGUGAUGGGGCAGACCUGCAGCGAUAAGACAGGAUGUGUCUCUGUUGAAUUCAAUUUUCACUUUACCUCACUCAUUUAAUGUUUUUCAUAUUUAAAAAUCUGAAAUAUUGGUAACAGAAAUUUGAUGGGCCUGGCAUUGAAUGAUACUGAAGAAAUAUUUUGGCUCAAGACCAAUGAUUAAAUAUGCUAAGAGACCUAUUUUUCUGAGUGCCUUUGUAUUUAGUGUUGCAUUUUAAGUGACUUUGAAGUAGAGUUAGUGUUUGAAUUACUUAUUCUUUAAGGAACAAGUGUAGAUAUUUUAUUAUGAAAUAGUGAAGAGUUUAUCAGUAGUAAGUGACACUUCCUGGGUGCCAGGCUCUAACUGUUUUAUGUGUAUCAUAUGUUGUUCUCACUACAACCCCGGGAAUGGCUGCCAGUUUUGUCGGUGUUUUUAGAUGGGGAAACUGAAGCACAGGGAUUUUGGAUGACUUCAACAAGGUCUACCCUAGCUAGAGGUGCUGCUGGGCUGUGGGCCAGACAGCACUACUCCACAGUCUUCAUGUGCAUCCAUAGAGCUGUACUGCCUCUACAGCAACAACGAAAAUGUCUAGAAGAAUGCACUGAAACCUGGCAGGACAAGUCCCCUCUAGGACUGCGAGAACUUUUAUUUAUGAUGGCUUGGUGAAUAGCAUCUGUACGUGUAAGAGCUGUUGUCUGGCAAUGGUGCCAGUGUUCAUGAGUGAUUUUCAAAACCUAUUCCAUAUUCAAAAGUACGGAAAAUGUGCUCUAGAGUGAGUGGAUCUCAAUUCAUACAGUUCCAGCUUUGGUCAUUGGAAACUCUUUCAGCUAAUUCCUGUGUCUCUUUGAUAUGUACCCAUCAUUUUUGUUUUUGGAGCACUUCCUUGUUUUCUGGUGCUAGAAGAUGCUCUGGGCUAUCUUGUAUAUUGUUGGACCAGCCCUAGAAUCAGCCAUUUCUACAGGGAGCCAUGGUUCAUUUUGUAGGAGAAUGGUAUUAGAAAGCAAGAUCUGGUCCAGUUUUUGAUCAUAUAAUAAUGAAUUUUGCAAAUGAAAGUGAGGUAGAGAACAUAUGCUUUGAUAACAGCUUUAAGUUACUUUGAAUCAUAUCUGCACCAUGAAUAGGCUGAUCAGCCAUCCCAGUUUGCAUAGACCUGAGAGGUUUUUCCAGGGAUAUGGGACUUCCAAUGAGAAGGGUGAGUUGGCCACCCUAGUCAUGGAAUUGGUUAUAUUCUUUGGUUGCAAGAGAAUGAAAUUCAAAUAAAGUGACCUCAGUUUAAAAAUGGAAUUUAAUGAUUCAUUUAACUGAGAAAUGUAAGGAUGUAUGGAUUUCAGGAAGAGCUGGAUCCAGGGAUCAAAUUAUUUAAUUAGGGCUCCCUCUAACUUCAUGUGUCAACUCCACUUCUCUCUGUGUAUUGAUUCUUUCUUAGACUUUCUGCAUGUGGUGGGAAAAGUGUGGACUCUCUUUAAUGGAGAAGAACAGCUGUCCUCAUCCCCUAGAAUAGGGAUCAAAACUGCAGUGCCUAGAGGGGUGAGGCUUGGUGGAGGACAAUAGGGAGUGAUGGGAACUUUAAGGGAAGCUCUAGUUAUCAAUGCUAUGCAGGAAUGCAAGUUUACUAUUGCCAGAUAUUGCCAUUUUUCAAAAGAAGCCAGAAAUUUGAAACCCUGAUUUUUAAAUGUUGGCAACUAAUUAAAUAACAACAGGAACAACAUUAACUCUAUUUGUACCAAGAAUACGCCUAUGGGAAAAUAUAUUAAAAUAUGUUUUGGGUUGCCAGUUUAUAACCUCUGGCUUCAGAAGCUCAUGGCCACCAUCUGGCAGCCUAAGGACCUACUUGGGUACAUACCUGUGGAAGGUGGCUCAUUUAGUGUUCUCAGGAUACAUUCACUAUUUUUGAAAAUAGAUCCCAUUUAACUUCAUAAUCACUAAAUUCAUCAAGCACUUUCUAUGUGUCAGGCAUUGUGAUAAGCUAUUUAUACAUCUCCUUUAAUCUUUAAAGUAACCUAUGAAAUAGUUACUAUUAGUAUUAUCACCAUAGUCCUCCUACAGAUGAAGAAACUGGGAACAGAGAGGAUUUGUAUUUUUCUCAGUAUUUAUAACUGGAAGCACCAGGGCAGGUUUUAGAUACCUGCUGGGUCUGACUGCUCAGAUUCUUUGCUCCAUUGCUCCAUUGUUUCAAAUGGCUGCAGAGAAGAGACAUCUUAUGUCUCAGGGUCAGAGAAGGUCUGGGAUGGAAAGAACCUUGGAGAUUACUCAGUAUGUUAACUUCCUUAUUUUAAGAUGGGGAAAUUAAGGCCAAGAGCAUGGAGUGAUGGCCUCAUGGUCUAUCAGUGGUGAG